CCUACGGGAGGCUGCAGUGGGGAAUAUUGGACAAUGGGCGAAAGCCUGAUCCAGCCAUGCCGCGUGUGUGAAGAAGGCCUUCGGGUUGUAAAGCACUUUCAGUGGGGAAGAAAGCCUUGGGGCUAAUACCCUCGAGGAAGGACAUCACCCACAGAAGAAGCACCGGCUAACUCCGUGCCAGCAGCCGCGGUAAUACGGAGGGUGCGAGCGUUAAUCGGAAUUACUGGGCGUAAAGCGCGCGUAGGCGGUCUGAUAAGCCGGUUGGGAAAGCCCCGGGCUCAACCUGGGAACGGCAUCCGGAACUGUCAGGCUAGAGUGCAGGAGAGGAAGGUAGAAUUCCCGGUGUAGCGGUGAAAUGCGUAGAGAGCGGGAGGAAUACCAGUGGCGAAGGCGGCCUUCUGGACUGACACUGACGCUGAGGUGCGAAAGCGUGGGUAGCAAACAGGAUUAGAUACCCGAGUAGUC
rnacentral:rRNA from 1 species